UAUGUCCCUAAAGAUGUCAAAGGUGUGUGUCACAUGUGCAUCAGUAGAAGGUAGAAAGGAAAGAGUCUAUGUCUACUUUCAGUGUUCUGACCUUUAUCCAUCUGAAUGAUUUGUAGUCUAACAUU